rnacentral:rRNA from 1 species
AAAAUGACUCUCGGCAACGGAUAUCUCGGCUCUCGCAUCGAUGAAGAACGUAGCGAAAUGCGAUACUUGGUGUGAAUUGCAGAAUCCCGUGAACCAUCGAGUCUUUGAACGCAAGUUGCGCCCAAAGCCGUCAGGCCGAGGGCGCGUCUGCCUGGGCGUCACGCA